rnacentral:rRNA from 1 species
UACGGGGGGGGCAAGCGUUGUUCGGAAUUACUGGGCGUAAAGGGCUCGUAGGUGGCCAACUAAGUCAGACGUGAAAUCCCUCGGCUUAACCGGGGAACUGCGUCUGAUACUGGAUGGCUUGAGUUUGGGAGAGGGAUGCGGAAUUCCAGGUGUAGCGGUGAAAUGCGCAGAUAUCAGGAGGAACACCGGUGGCGAAGGCGGGUCUCUGGGCCGUAACUGACGCUGAGGAGCGAAAGCGUGGGGAGCGAACAGG